GUAGAAAUGCCAGAGUGUCCAUGGGAUUGGUUUAGGACCAAUUUACGGUUGUUAAACCUUUCUACU
rnacentral:tRNA from 1 species